rnacentral:rRNA from 1 species
AUUGAACGCUGGCGGCAGGCUUAACACAUGCAAGUCGAGCGGGGACUUCGGUCCUAGCGGCGAACGGGUGAGGAAUGCUUGGGAAUCUGCCCAGUAGCGGGGGAUAACGUUUCGAAAGGAACGCUAAUACCGCAUACGCCCUACGGGGGAAAGGGGGGGAUCUUCGGACCUCUCACUAAUGGAUGAGCCCAAGUCGGAUUAGCUAGUUGGUGGGGUAAAGGCCUACCAAGGCGACGAUCCGUAGCUGGUCUGAGAGGAUGAUCAGCCACACUGGAACGGAGAAACGGUCCAGACUCCUACGGGAGGCAGCAGUGGGGAAUAUUGGACAAUGGGCGAAAGCCUGAUCCAGCCAUGCCGCGUGUGUGAAGAAGGCCUUCGGGUUGUAAAGCACUUUAAGCGAGGAGGAAUGGCUCUUGGUUAAUAACCUUCAGCAGUGACGUUACUCGCAGAAUAAGCACCGGCUAACUCUGUGCCAGCAGCCGCAGUAACAC